GCGAUACGUAAUGUGAAUUGCAGAAUUCCGCGAAUCAUCGAGUUUUUGAACGCAACUUGCGCCCGAGGCUUCGUCCGAGGGCAUUUCCGCUAGAGCGUCACC
rnacentral:rRNA from 1 species